rnacentral:rRNA from 1 species
CUAGCUGUAAACGAUGGAUACUAGGCGUUGAGAGUAUCGACCCUCUCAGUGUCGUAGCUAACGCGUUAAGUAUCCCGCCUGGGGAGUACGCGCGCAAGCGUGAAACUCAAAGGAAUUGACGGGGGCCCGCACAAGCGGUGGAGUAUGUGGUUUAAUUCGAUGCAACGCGAAGAACCUUACCAGUGCUUGACAUGUCCGGAACCCUGCCCAAAGGCGGGGGUGCCUACGGGAACCGGAACACAGGUGGUGC